UACAUCCACCGAGACGCAGGCAUAUGCUCGCGCCUCGGUGUGAAGGAGCUCUCUCUCGCGCCUGUGUUUCUCGCUACCUCCAUCUAAAUGCUGGAGCGAGGAGUUAAAUUAUUCCAGAAGCCCGCCAGGGUCUGAUUUGCUACUGUCUGCUUCCUCGUUGCCUUUGAAUGGGACCCUUGAUCCAAGGCUUUCAGAGACCAGCCGGUGCUGAUGGGGGUCUGUGACUUGGCGGUGGCGCCAGCUUGCUCCUUCUCUGUCUCGGGCAUGGUUUUCUGUCCUGCUGGGGAGGGCGAGAGCGCUGGGCAGAGGUGGCACCUGACCCGCUAGAACUCCGAUGUCACUGCUGUGGCUGUUACUCCCCUCGGCAAGAGUCAAGGCGCACGCAGGACGUGAGUCCCACAUCAGGCCUCAUCUUUUUGAAACCAUGCGGAACAACGGAGACCCAUAGUAGCUCUUAGGUGCAAACAGAUUGAUGGCUACAUCUCUCAUUCCGGAUGCCACCAAGCCAUUCCAGCCACCUGCCAUAGUGUUGUCUCCAGACAAGGGCAGACGACCAGAGACGCUCUGAAGCCCUACGGCUACUUGGAGAGAAGAAUAAUGUCCCUGGCAAAGCGCUGUGAAACCAAGGAAGUGAAAUAACAAAGAGCCCGAAGACAGCGCAGCCCCAGCUGGUAGGCCCUGGAGAGAGGCUGGAGUCCUCAGACCGACAGAAGGAAGACAUCUGAGGGGCGACCAGGAGGUGUCUGUGGCUGCGGAACACAGGCAGGGGUGACUGAUUUGAAGACACUGGCAACAUGGAGACUGCUUCAAAAAUACUCAUGAGAAGUUCAGUUUUCCAGAUAUUUUUAAGUACCUACUGUGAGCCAAGCAUUUCGUUAAGACUUAAGGAUGUGUCGGUGCAAUAAGAUAACCAUGACCCAUCUGUGGAAAGAGAGCUCAGAGCCCUGCAGGAAGAUACCUGAUUAGUGAGAACACUAAGUGUGAUAAAUGUCCAGAAAAAAAGAUGAGAUGAAAAGGAGAUGCAACAAAAACAUGGGACUCAAGAAACUAGCAAAAGCAAUGAAGAAGACUUUCCAACCAGCAUUUCCACAGGAGCACAGCCCUGAGGAUGACUUGACCAAGCCCUCUGAGACCCAUGUGUGGCUUCUGACUUCUAGAGUGGAAGGCGAUAGACAUGGAUUCUUUUAGGCCACCGUGUUUGUGUUGGACUGUUCAUCUGCAGUCAGAAGUUAAUGAAUGAGCUCAAUAAAUAGUAUGUUCACUCUACUGGUCAGAGAAUUUUCAGAUCACAUUAUGCUGUAUGGCUCAUACAUGCCAGGCACUGAGCUUGCAGUGGAGACUCUGGGCUAAACACACGGUCCUCAACUUGAAAGCUAUGAUCUCAAAGACUGACUAAAAUUUAGCAUCUUCAAAAUGAGUCAAAAAUCUACAAUUGAAACUAGGACCUCCAGCGCAAAGAUUGCAGGAAGAGUGAGAAGAUGAGCAUCUAGCGCUGCUGAGUCCUAAGGAGAGGGAACUUGUUUAGACAACUUGUGAAGUUAUGCAUGCUGCUGUCGCAUAAGGACUUACUGGAAUCAGCCAGAGCAAGAUGACAGCAGCAGAGGUCUUUAGGACAAUGAGCAACAGAAUUACUCCAGUUUCAUGUACAGAAGAGAGCAACCUUGAGACCCUCCAAAAUCCAUAGAUCCUAAGGAGGAGCUGCUCAACAGUGUUAAAAUAUGGUGAUUAUUAUCAGUAUUUGUGGAUAUUCAUAUACACAUAUACCAGCCAUCCAUAUUUGCCUAGAACUGAGAUAUCUUCUGUAUAUGUGACUUGGAGUCUGAAAUCCAGGAGCUUCAUAACAAAUCAGGAUGGAGGAGGAUUGGAUACUCCUGAGUGAAGGAUGCUACCCGGACUGUGUGAUACAGAGUGAACAGGAAUGAUGCUGGGAAAUUGGGUAUCCACUUGGAAACAAAUGAAAGCAGACCUCUGUCCAUCACCAGUCACAGAAAUCAACUCGAAUUGGAUUAAAAUACAUCCAGCUGGUCCUGGGCCCACACACCUGAAGUCUCACAUCUGAAGCACUGCAUUUCCUAAUCCAUCUUAGUGACACCGUUUGGCUCAAGUUUCCAAGCUGGGACCAGAUUUUCUCCAACGGUGGAGGAAACAAAGAAGGUGCUGUAUCCGUUUCUUUGCAUCAUCCUGUCUUAAGAGUUUUCAUGGAGGCUUAGCUUGCACGAGAUUCCCAGAGACAAACUCUGUCCCAUUGUCAGGCCAGCAGACUCCACAACUGUGGGCUGUGACAUCUCUCUAAACAGAUAAAAACAGGAAUGUCAAGUUCCUCACAAGGGGCUAGAACACCAAAAUAAAGGGAAAAGAUGAAAAGGAGGAAGACUCAGAGGAUGUAGGAAUGUGUGCAAUGCCAUCUUUAUGGGCUAGAGGUACAUGAAGAAUCCCCUCUCUAGUGACCAGCUUGGGAAGAGGAUAGGAAAGAAAUGGAGAGUUUCUGCUCUGUCUAUUUAAGGCCAACUUUCCAUGUGGCUCACAUUUGUAUGUCUGGCAAGCAGAGGCACUGGAUGCCUUUGUUCUGGGCUUUCAUUUCAAGGAUGUUCCGUAGUGAAUAGGCUUGGGGGAAAAGGCUAGUCUAAAGGGUGGGCCAGGUAUGCUUUCUGUUUCUCAUACAAACCUUAUGUUCCCUAAAUCCAGGUCCCCACUGUAGUCAUACACCUCAUAGGGGAUAUAAACAUCACUGAUUCUCUCCUCAUUAUGCUGCAGGAACUGGGGCCAGGGAAGCAAUAAAAGUGUCGAUGUUCAUCUUGCUUGCUGUGUGGAGUCUUGGGUCUGUCAGCAUCUAUGAAGCCAUGCGAUUAUAUUACUUGUUUCAAGUUUCUAACAGUUCUUGACAAAUCUCUGUCCUCUUGGACUAAAUGCAACUUGUGAAACAACUCAACCUUCCAGGGAUUGGGUGUGCCCAACCUAUGAGGAAAAAAAAAAAAGAUGAGGGAGGAAAAGCACAUUUUUAUUGAAUGUUCUUUGUCUGCAGAGAUGUGCUGGGCACACAUUGUCUCCUUUAAUUCUCAUGACAGCCUUGGGAUAAUACACUGUUCUAUCUUUUCAAAAAUAGAUAAGGAGUCCUAGGCCCUUCAGGUGAAGUGACAUUCUGAGGUCACACACGGGGCUCAGAAUGGAAUGAAGUCCUCUGUGUUGAAAGGGUUCCUGGAAACUCAGCCCUUUCAGGACUGAGACGGUGGACUGUCUAAGACUGAUGUCUUGACAAGCUACCAGGCAUGAAAUAAAUUCCUCGGCCACUCAAUUAUCUGCUCCGUGAGUUUUCACAGCUCUCUUCUUAAAUGUAUUCCUGGUUCCCAGAUCAACAGGCAGUUUCCAUUUUCUUAAAAUCCUGUCUGCUCUUUCUGCUUUCCGCUUUUGAUCUUCCUACCUCCAGCCAGGGUUAUUCCAGUUGCUUGGCAUUGGCCUUCCUGGUCCUGCCUAUCUCCCUGGGUUGUUUUUGUUUGUUUGUUUGUUUGUUUGUUUUCUAUGUGAAAAAGAGAAGGUGGAAACCAUUCUGAGAUGCUGCCCCAGAAGCAACAGGCUUUAAAUUGGUGAAGAAUUAUGUUCGAUUUUCAGAAAUGACUAGAGUGAUUAGCUUACACUCACCAUCUGCUGCGCAGAAAUUCCCUCCCUGAAUCCUCCUGCCACAGGCCAGCCUGCUCUACCUGCUGCUGCUAUCCCUGGGGACUUUAUACCUGUGCUACAUUGCAUAAGGCUGUGCUUCAAGAAAUUAUAGAAAAACAUUUCCUUAGCCCAACUACUCAACCUAAAUGCAGUAUAAAACUGACCUUGCCUUGUGGGAAAUGAGGCAGAGAAUGAACUCUUUUCAUGUAGUACCUGUUUGUUUUCUAAUUAAGAGGGUUUGUAGUACUGCAAUUAUUUUCUUUGCACUCCUGGAACAACCUUGCUUUUCAACUUCAAUUUAUAUCAACAAAAUGCUGCCCUCCUAAUUAAUUCAAUUAAGCAUCUAAACAUUGGUAGUAUUUUCAGUGGAUUUGAAACUAUCUAAAGAUGUUAGCACUAUAACUAUUUCCUGUAUAGCUAUGGCAUUCCAUCUAGCUCUCAGCAAUUAGAACUCAAUGUAAUGACGCAUCAUCUCUAGCCUUCUAAUUCUCUUCUCAUUAGGUUCCACCUGUAUUAAACAGUCACCCGUAUAGGAAAGAAGCCCAUUCCAUCAAGAUAAAGAGCUUUCCACCUUCGAUUUCUGAAGCAACAUCUGUAUAUUCACAGUAAGAAUGGACCUAUUACCAACAGUUAGCAUAGGCCAGUGGAAUUUUUCUUCCGCUUUCUAAAGAAGCAAAUUUUGAAAUACAAAGAAUAAUGGGACAUACGCCAUGUUUGCUGGAGUUCAUAACCAAGUUGGAGAAAGAAACAGUAUUCAACAAAAAAGAAAUCACAUACCACAACAGUAGAUAAAAGAUGUGUCUGACAUAUAUAGAUAAUACGAUCUUGCAGCAGAUGUAGUUCCCUGCCUCUUGCAAUUAUCACAUUCUCUCUUCUGAGAUGUUUCCCGAACCUUAGAUGUAGGGGAUAUGUUGUAGACGUAUCAACUGGGGCUGGGCACCCCACAGUCAUUGGUUCUAUGUAUUUUGACCAGUGUAGUUUUCUGUAAUGGUCUGGGAAGUUUCACCCAUGAACUUCCAACAGGAGGAUUGUCUAAAGAAGACCUGGAUGAUGACAACAUCAUGUGACAGGCCAGCAUAGAUGGGUGAUGUUUCAUGGGGGCUCACACCUGGAUGAAGAGCUAUAAGCUAUUAAUGACUGCUCAGAGAGAGAGACUCAGUCUUCCCCAGGGAUAUACUCCCCCACUGGCUACCCAAUACCUUGUGGUUAGUCCUACAAACAUAUACAUACAAGCAAUUUAGACUCAGCUGGUUGCAGAUAUGUACAUGUAAUAAUAAUGAUAAAACUUAAAAGAUACAUUUGAGCAGUACAUCUGUAAAACAGCAGCCUCAGUCUCCUGGUAUGGAGAUGAUGACUCGUGGUACUAUCCUCAAAUCCCAUGCCUACUUUACUCCUACACAGCCUCCUUCAAAAUGCUUCCCACCGGCUCUUUUUCUACUUCUCAUGACUAAUGCCAUCACCUUAUUUUAAGUCUUUAUCCAUUUGUAUUUAAAUUCUUAAAAUUCUCCACUUGUUCCUUGCCCAAGGCCACUUCCCACUGUGACUGGACUCCUGAGAGCACAUACUAAAACUCUGGAAGCUCUGCUUUGAUCUUUUCCUUCUCGGUGCACAAACCUUCCAGGAUGCUCCUUUCUGAAGAAUCGAAACCUGUUAAGUGGCUUGGAAGUAGAAUACAGUUUGAGGUUGCUGUGGUUACUGUGGACUGUCAUCUCGACAGAAUCUGGUAUCACCUAGGAGACAAGCCUCCAGGUACAUUCAUGAGGGAUUAUUUAGAUUAGCUCAGCCUGUAGGUAUGCUAGUGAGGGGUUAUCUUGAUCUGUUUAAUUGAAGUGAAAAAAUUCACUCCAAAGGAGGAGACACCCUUCCAUGGACUCUCACACUGGGCUUCAUGAGAGAGAGAGAGAGAGAGAGAGAGAGAGAGAGAGAGAGAG